rnacentral:misc_RNA from 1 species
GUGAAUCAUCGAAUUUUUGAACGCAAAUUGCGCUUCCUGGUAUCCCUGGAAGUAUGCCUGUUUGAGGGUCAGUAUUAACAAAAAAUCGGUUUGGUUGCAAAUUGUUUCGUUUUCGGUGUUUUGGCUUAUCUUAACUUAUUUGGUUAAGGGGCUUAUAAUUGACCUUUUUUGCGCAUUUUUAGAUGUACAUAAAUUUUUUUUUUAUUCGUCUGUUCUAAUUGCCAAAAUCUUAUUAGAUCAGAUAACAUCGU